rnacentral:misc_RNA from 1 species
UUUCCGUAGGUGAACCUGCGGAAGGAUCAUUCGUAAUAAAGUGUUUUACGGCACUUUUUAAAAAUCCAUAUCCACCUUGUGUGCAAUGUUUGAUCUCGUCAAUCUUGGCGAGAUUUUUAUACAUCAACUCAUUCUUUAACUAAUUUGUCUGAAAAAUAUUAUGAAUACUUAAUUCAAAAUACAACUUUCAACAACGGAUCUCUUGGCUCUC